rnacentral:snoRNA from 14 species
CCCCUGUGAUGAGUUGCCAUGCUAAUACUGAGACACCAGGACGGGAGUUUUACCCUGCACUGGGUGUUAUUGAAGUAAACUAUACUUCUCGUCAAUCUACCUGAGGGGC